rnacentral:rRNA from 1 species
GCGAUUACAGGUACGGGCUCUGAGAGGAGAAGCCCGGAGAUGGGUACUGAGACACGGACCCAGGCCCUAUGGGGCGCAGCAGGCGAGAAAACUUUGCAAUGUGCGCAAGCACGACAAGGUUAAUCCGAGUGAUUUCUGCUAAAGAAAUCUUUUGCCAGUCAUAAAACCACUGGUGAAUAAGGGGUGGGCAAGUUCUGGUGUCAGCCGCCGCGGUAAAACCAGCACCUCAAGUGGUCAGGAUGAUUAUUGGGCCUAAAGCAUCCGUAGCCGGCUUUGUUAGUUUUCGGUUAAAUCCAUGUGCUCAACACAUGGGCUGCCGAAAAUACUGCAUAGCUAGGGAGUGGGAGAGGUAGACGGUACUCAGUAGGAAGGGGUAAAAUCCUUUGAUCUAUUGAUGACCACCUGUGGCGAAGGCGGUCUACCAGAACACGUUCGACGGUGAGGGAUGAAAGCUGGGGGAGCAAACCGGAUUAGAUACCC